CCCGCACAAGCGGUGGAGCAUGUGGUUUAAUUCGAUGCAGCGCGAAGAACCUUACCUGGGCUUGACAUCCCGGGAAUCCCUUGGAAACAAGGGAGUGCCCUUCGGGGAACCUGGAGACAGGUGCUGCAUGGCUGUCGUCAGCUCGUGUCGUGAGAUGUAGGGUUAAGUCCCGCAACGAGCGCAACCCUUGUCUUUAAUUGCCAUCAUUGAGUUGGGCACUUUAAAGAGACUGCCGGUGUUAAACCGGAGGAAGGUGGGGAUGACGUCAAGUCCUCAUGGCCUUUAUGCCCAGGGCUACACACGUGCUACAAUGGGUGGUACAAAGAGCAGCCAGCUCGCGAGAGUGAGCAAAUCUCAAAAAGCCAUCCUCAGUUCGGAUUGAAGUCGGCAACUCGACUUCAUGAAGUUGGAAUCGCUAGUAAUCGCGGAUCAGCAUGCCGCGGUCGAAUACGUUCCCGGGCCUU
rnacentral:rRNA from 1 species